UCUUACUGAUUUCAUCUGUAAAAAUGAAAUAUAAAUAUAAACUCUAAAAUGGAAACUCUAAAACUUCAUAGUUGUUGCCAAUAAACACAUAAAGCUCAACAAAGGAACACACAGUGGAGACCAGUUAUCUGCCGACACCUGUGAAACAUUCUGUCCUGCACGGACUCUGCUGUCACUAGCGUCACUUCUGAAAUCUAAGGCCAGCUCAGGAGUAGAGCUUUACAGCUUGGCCUCGUCAGGUACCCAGAUCCCCAAGCUCAGACAAUGGCAGGGAAACAGUUUACUGUUCACAUAUGCAUUUUCAAAAAAUAGUAUUAAAAUGAACACUGUACGUAUUUUGUUGUUUGUUUGAUAUCGUUAACAGAAAAGAAAAGAAAAAAAAAACAGGAAAAAAACCCAUGCAAUUACAAAUAAUGAGGCUAUGUCUGAAAAUUAUUUUUUUUUAAAUUAUGUUUAGGAUUUAUUGACCAGUUAGGAGAAAAGUCAUUUCAUAGGUGUAAUCCCUUGAUUGACUUAACUUGUUUUUUUAAUUAGGAAGAAGAGCGUGUUCCAUUUACCACCUGGGGAAAGUGUAUACAUAUAACCCUUUGUUCAAGUGCUCUUUUUCUGGUGUGACCCAGGUGGCUGUCUCCUUGAACUGAUGAUGCAGCUGACAAUAAUCAUGGGAGGACAGUCCAUCUGGAAAAACAUACAAGAGGUGUUAAUUCCAUGGGUCAUGAAUCUAAUGAUGCCACAGUUUCGGGAGCAGAAUAGACCACCCCACGAUGGGAAUGGGACAACCAUCUGUAUCCAACGGGCAAACUGGGGUUAUUUUAUGAAUACCCUGAAAUGAGAGUAAAAGAAGUUAUGUUGUCCUUCCAUCCUUCCACCACUCCAUGUUGUGUGUCCAUUCCUUCAACAGGUAUUCAGUUUGGGUUCACCACAGUAUAUGUGGCCUCUUUCCAGUGGCCCCUCUGUUGGCUCUGGAGAACAAUAUAUUGGAAAUCAGAGUGGGUACGUGGAACCUUGACUACCCAGUAUAGACGUAUGGUGCCAGAAAAAGCCCAGAACAUCUCAGCAUGGCAGCCAACCAUGCAAGGAACAGCAAUUCUGGCUGUGGUGGACCAAUGUGAAUAAAAAGGCUUCAUUGGGUGAAGACUUAGAAAAGUCGAAAAAUGCAUUGGCGUUGCUUCCUACGGAAUCCAGUGUUGGGUACUGUUUAAUAUGAGAGGGAGAUGCUAACACUAUCAUCGUUAUAAACAACAUAGUUGUUGUAACUGUAAUUGUUAUUAUUUUUAAUAUAUUUUCUUUAUAAUUAUUAUUUGUGACUUACAAGACCCUUACAGAGGCAGUUGUUAAGAAGCGUGGCAGUUAUACUCUUGCUGAAGUGUUAAUUCAGUAGAAGCAUGGUAAUAGCAUUAAUAAGUACUCACUCUUUUGAUCCUCACAUGACUCUAAAAGUCACCCAGCAGUGCUUGUAUAAUGGAGAUAGAAAUCUAUCCGUUUAAUUGUUUGUAGAACCUAAAAUAAGAGCAGUCAUUCCACCGCAUUUGACCAUAUAUUCCAGACUAUCAGUUUAAAGUAGGAACUACCUGAUGAGGCCAUAGAAACCCUUUGUGCCUCCCCAAUCGUUCAUUACCUUCCUGUCCUCUGGGGCAGAGUUUCUUCCAUAAGGUGGCCCCAUCUCUCCUCCCCACCCCACUCUUGGCCUUUGCUACCCACUGUUGUUCAUUAGCUAAGCAGCCUCAUGUUCUGCAUGUGUCUGAGCUGUGAGGGAACAGAACUCAGCUGUUUACAAACUCUAUUGACUAUAACUAGUCUGAACAGCCUCUCUCCUUCCCUGCCCAUAACCCCACAGGGCAACAGGGGGCUCACAACCACAGCGAUUCCCAUGCCAGCCCAACAGGGAACCUUCUUCCCUAGAAAUAUUCUUACAACCAGGGCUGUUUCCUCCCUUACUUCACUGCCAGUUUCACUCCCAGGUUACAGUCCCCAACAAAAGGCUAUCCCAGUUUGGAUAUCUUAAUCAAGUCGCAUUGACCCUGAGUACCUGGCAUUUUCACAUGAGCACUCAUAGAAAUAGAACAGGGCCUGGAAGUGGCUGUGGGCCAGGUUCCUGGGUGAGGGGACUUGGUUCUGUAGCCUGGCCCGAGCUGAGCUCCCAGCACGGCGUCUUCCCAUCUGCAUUAUUUCGGGCCAGGCUUCAACAGUUCAGAGUUUCAUUUUAUCAUCUGCAAACAGAAUAAUUCCCUGCUGCAUAUUUUAAGACUGUUAUGUACCACAAAGGGUGCUUAGGGAAUUCAGUGAGUCAAUGCAUGGAAGUCACAUAACCUGGUCCUCAGGAAAUGUUAGUUAUCUUCAUUAUGCACCAUCGAUAAAAUUGGCUCACAGACUCGGCCAGGUAUCAAAGCUACAGGCACAGGAAUUUGACAAUGUUUUACUGUCUGGAUCAUAGUCACAAUUUUACACAGUAAAACAAGCUACCUGGGACCACCCAGCUGUCAGCCCACCCGACUCCCCACCCCAGGAUCCCUCAAUUUAUCUGAUUUGCUUGCUACCCCUACUUUUUGGAGAAAGUUGGCAAAUCACAGUCAAUGGCUGCUAGGUUAUGUCCAUUCCCAUUCACUCAAAUUGCCCCAUUUUCAGUAUCCACUGUGCUGCAAAACAGACUAACGUUCAGAAAUAUGACAGCAAGGCCUUUCCCGUUCCACAGUCAGAGAACUAAGAAUCUGUCAUGUUUAAUAUGCCAUGUGACACUAAGCAAGGCAGGAAAACAGGCUCCUGUGCUUUAAGAAAGUUUUUAACAAUGACGUUUGAAACUAAAAGUGUUUUUGUUUGACCUUCAGAUAACCAGAAUAUUCAAUUGACUCCUAUUACCCAUUACUCAGAUGUCCUGAUUUGAUUGUAUUAGGCACUUUUUCCUCAUCUCCCCAGCAUGACUUGGCUCCAUCAGCACAGAUGGAGUGUCUCCAAGGCUGCUCCGUGUGCAUGGGCGUGUGAGUGCACACAUGUGCACCCACUGAAUGGUGCCACUGAUUCAUAUCCAGGAGUUGUUCUGUCUUAUAACUCAAGCAUUGCUUUAUUAUAUCCUAGAAAACUGCUUUUAGAUCAUUGAUUGAACUAUAGACCAUCCUCUUGCCCACAUUAGGAAUUGACAUCUUCCAAGACACAGGUCCUAUGUGUUUGUAUAUAUGUAUAAGUAAGAAUUAAAUAUGUAUGUCAUCCCCUCACAUAUUUAAUUUGUGCCUUCCCAAUUGAAUGUGCACAGUAAAGGCUAACUUCCCAUAACAGGAGAAAUUUUAGGAAGUAAGAAGAAUGAAUUAGCCACCAGGGAGAAGACAGGAUAUCAAGCAGGAGUUUGGUAUAAAGUCAUUUAUUCUAAAGCUGCUCUGGCUCAAUAAAUAAGUGGAAUUGACAUUGUUGUAUCAUGGCAGAGCAUCUGAAAUUGAAGACCAAUUUUAAUUUACUUUGAUAUAAGUGGAAAAUUGUGUCAGAACAGCAUGGGAAAUGAAGAACACUGCAUCUAUCUGUACUCCUGAAGUGUGUUUCAGAGCUGUUCAAUUUUGAGGAAAAUUAUCUUUUCUGGAGACAAUCGAAUUAUUUUCAUUGUUGGAAUUUUUGUAGCUUCCAGAAGCACAUCAGCAGGUGAUGCUGUAAAAGUCUAGAGUUGACUUAAAUAGCAGGAAAUUUUAGCCUAUUGAAAUCAGGAGAAGUGAAAUGUUUUUGCCUACCAACACCACCGCCACCACCACCACCAGGCAAGCACUUGUACACCCAGAGAGAUUUCACAUCAGAGGGAAUGACAAAGCUGGUUCUGUUACUGAGGCCAAACUUGUUCUGCUCACUGCACAACAGUGAUAAAUAAAUAAAUCAGGAGACAAGGUUUUGGGGCAAGGAAUAGUAACUUUAUUCAGAAAACUGGCAGACCAAGAAGAUGGGGGACUAAUAUCCUGGAGAAUCAUCUUUUCCAAGUCAGAAUUAAUUCUCCUUUUGAACUAAAAAGGGGAAGGGGUGUGGUUGGUUGUGCAAACUUCUUGCUGCCGGCAUUCUUUGUUCUUGCAGCCAUCCAUGUGGCUCAGGCUAUUGUGUCCCUGUAAGCCUGCAACAAAACAAAGGUUAUUCUCUAUUUUGCAACUUGCCAUCUCUGCGUAAGUGCAGAAGUGCUAACAUCCUUAAAGGUCAGAGCCCCGAGAAUAGGCUUUCCUGUAGGUUUUAGGCUAAAGGCAACGUUGUUUUACAAAAGGUGCAAAGCCAGCAAGAUUAAGCCUGGAAAACAUUUCACAGGGCUUCAAACUGAAGGAACAGAUCCAAUAUGGCGUCAGAUUUGUUCUCAAUUACAGUUUUAGUUAGGGGAAAUUUUGCAGCAGAAAAUCCCCUCAGUUGUUUUUCUUUCUUUGCCUGAGAUCUUGUUUGUUGGCUUGUGGUCUCAUGGUGUCAAAAUGGUAUGUUCAGAUGAGUACUAUUAAAAUCAUAUGGUGCAGAAAACAUAUCUAUUCUGCUUCAAAAGAUGACUGAAACAUUUAGCUUUGUUUAUUCCCAUAGAAUUUGGAUUGAAUCUAUUCUCGACUUCCUUCUUCUUCAAACCAGUUUUUUACUGGAGGGUUUAAAGCCCAAAUUAAAGAAUUUUGGAGAAGACUCAUGUAAUUUAUAAGACGUUUACUUCCGAAUUUAAGACUGACCCAUACUUGUACUUUUAAUCAAGGAACACAAUAAACUUUUUUAGUCGAUCAUUUAUGACGUUUUAUACUUUGUCCUUGUAAUCUUCUGGAAGUUGAGAGGCUUAGACAAUUGAUAUAACAGAACAGGUAUCAUUGCUCAACACUGUGAAUGAAAGAAUCCCAGUAUAGUUUCCUGAAAGUAUAUUUUAUUAAAAAUAAAAAAGAAUUCUUGCUCUCUAAUAAAGCAACAGACAGAAGCACAUACUGAGUGUUUAAAAUAAAUAAUACUAUGGGAAAAAUUAUCUAAGCAACUCAAGAUAGUAUAGAAAAAAGUAUGAAC